GACGUAGGGGGCAAGCGUUGUCCGGAUUCAUUGGGCGUAAAGAGCUCGUAGGCGGCUUGGCAAGUCGGAUGUGAAAUCUCCAGGCUCAACCUGGAGUCGCCAUCCGAUACUGCUAUGGCUAGAGUCCGGUAGAGGAUCGUGGAAUUCCUGGUGUAGCGGUGAAAUGCGCAGAUAUCAGGAGGAACACCGAUGGCGAAGGCAGCGAUCUGGGACGGUACCUGACGCUGAAGCGCGAAAGCGUGGGGAGCGAACGGG
rnacentral:rRNA from 1 species